rnacentral:rRNA from 1 species
UGCCAGCCGCCGCGGUAAUACGGAGGGGGUUAGCGUUGUUCGGAAUUACUGGGCGUAAAGCGCGCGUAGGCGGAUUAUUAAGUGAGAGGUGAAAUCCCAGGGCUCAACCCUGGAACUGCCUUUGAUACUGUCAGUCUUGAGUUCGAGAGAGGUGAGUGGAAUUCCAAGUGUAGAGGCGAAAUUCGUAGAUAUUUGGAGGAACACCAGUGGCGAAGGCGGCUCACUGGCUCGAUACUGACGCUGAGGUACGAAAGUGUGGGGAGCAAACAGGAUUAGAUA